rnacentral:rRNA from 1 species
AUUGAACGCUGGCGGCAAGCCUAACACGUGCAAGUCGAACGAGUGGCGGACGGGUGAGUAAUGUCUGGGAAACUGCCCGAUGGCGGGGGAUAACUACUGGAAACGGUAGCUAAUACCGCAUACUAUCGGAUGUGCCCAGAUGGGAUUAGCUAGUAGGUGGGGUAAAGGCUCACCUAGGAGACGACCCCUAGCUGGUCUGAGAGGAUGACCAGCCACACUGGGACUGAGACACGGCCCAGACGCCUACGGGAGGCAGCAGUGGGGAAUAUUGCACAAUGGGCGCAAGCCUGAUGCAGCCAUGCCGCGUGUAUGAAGAAGGCCUUCGGGUUGUAAAGUACUUUCAGCGGGGAGGCGGUACCCGCAGAAGAAGCACCGGCUAACUCCGUGCCAGCAGCCGCGGUAAUUC